rnacentral:rRNA from 1 species
AUUGAACGCUGGCGGCAGGCCUAACACAUGCAAGUCGAACGGUAACAGGAAGAAGCUUGCUUCUUUGCUGACGAGUGGCGGACGGGUGAGGAAUGUCUGGGAAACUGCCUGAUGGAGGGGGAUAACUACUGGAAACGGUAGCUAAUACCGCAUAACGUCGCAAGACCAAAAAGGGGGACCUUCGGGCCUCUUGCCAUCGGAUGUGCCCAGAUGGGAUUAGCUAGUAGGUGGGGUAACGGCUCACCUAGGCGACGAUCCCUAGCUGGUCUGAGAGGAUGACCAGCCACACUGGAACUGAGACACGGUCCAGACUCCUACGGGAGGCAGCAGUGCGGAAUAUUGCACAAUGGGCGCAAGCCUGAUGCAGCCAUGCCGCGUGUAUGAAGAAGGCCUUCGGGUUGUAAAGUACUUUCAGCGGGGAGGAAGGGAGUAAAGUUAAUACCUUUGCUCAUUGACGUUACCCGCAGAAGAAGCACCGGCUAACUCCGUG